CCAGUUUCGAAUGCAGUUCCCAGGUUGAGCCCGGGGAUUUCACAUCCGACUUGACAGACCGCCUGCGUGCGCUUUACGCCCAGUAAUUCCGAUUAACGCUUGCACCCUCCGUAUUACCGCGGCUGCUGGCACGGAGUUAGCCGGUGCUUCUUCUGCGGGUAACGUCAAUCGACAAGGUUAUUAACCUUAUCGCCUUCCUCCCCGCUGAAAGUGCUUUACAACCCGAAGGCCUUCUUCACACACGCGGCAUGGCUGCAUCAGGCUUGCGCCCAUUGUGCAAUAUUCCCCACUGCUGCCUCCCGUAGGCUAGCUAU
rnacentral:rRNA from 1 species